CAGACUUCCAGUCAGCUCCAGAAUUGAAUGGACUUUUGUGGCUCUUUGAGUGUUUAAGGGUGAAGUGACUGAAAAAGGCAAUGAAUAAAGCAUACAGUAAGGAUUAUGGAUUGAUAGUUCCAAACAGUACGGAAUGAAACUCACCAAAGAUGAUCUCUUCUGGAUUUAUUCAGUAACAUUAAUAAAGAACAUUUAUGUACACUAAGCAAGCAAGCAAAAUGAACAAUUGGAUUUGUAAAUGACAUUCAUGUUAGUUAAUGGUAAAUAGGUAGCAUACACUUUUACAAUUUCUUUCUGUAACUGAUAUUAAAAAUCUUCAAUAUUUCUUUUAUCUUCUAAUACAGCCAUCUAAACUUAAUUAGAAGAGGAUUUAUUUUUCUUUUCCUAAAUAAAAUAGUUCUUUUGUUUCUUUCUUUUUUUACUCCUAUAAUGUUCAAAAUGUUACUUUGAAGGUUAGACAACAGUGGUCAUGUUGCUCAUAGUUAUUGCAUGAAUUUUCACAAACUAAGUAAAACUUAAAGAAAAAAGAAGUUAUGCUAUUAUGACUGAUCAUAGUGAACUGAUUCUUCAAUAAUUAUUGAGAAAGAUAUGGUGAAUUGAUUGAUGAUCCUGCCUAAGGGUCAAGAAUAUAAUGGGAAAAUUGAGAUGUUAUUUUCUUAGAUUCCUUUGCUUAUUUACUUAUUUAUACCUUAGGCUUGCCAACUCCUCAAUGAUUCUUGAUGACUUACAUCCACACAAACACACACAAACACACACAUACACACACAUAUAUACAUGUACAUAAACAUACAUAUAUAAGCUUUUAUUUACUUUCCAUUUUGAUUUUAAAAAUUAAAGUAUAGGGGGUUCUUGACUUACAACAGUUUAUUUGGUGACCAUUCAAAGUUACAAUGGCACUGAAAAAAGUGACUUAUGGCCAUUUUUCACACUUACAAAAAGCAUCCCCAUGGUCAUGUAGUCAAAAUUUGGGCAUUUGGUAACUGGUUCAUAUUUAUGAUGAUUGCAGUGUCCUAAGGUCAUGUGACCACCAUUUGCAACCUUCUGACAAGCAAAGUCAAUGAGGAACCCAUAUUCACUUAACAACCAUGUUACUAACUUAACAACUGCAGUGAUUCACUUAACAACUGUGGCAAUAAAAGUUGUUAAAUGGGGCAAACUUAACAAAUGUCUCACAUGGUAACAUAAAUUUUGGGCUCAAUUUUGGUCAUAAGUCAAGGACUACGUGUACAUAGUUUUGAGGGGCAUGGUGGCUCAAAAAUGCUGAGCUUGUCGGUGGAAAGUUGACAACCUAGUUCAAGACCCAAAUGCCACAUGAUAGGGUGAACUCCCAUUACUUGUUCCAGUUUGUACCUGCCAGUAGUUUGAAAGCAUGCAAAUGCAAGUAGAUAAAUAGGCACCAUUUCACUGGGAAGGUAACAUGACCACAGAAACAUUGUCCAACAAUGCUGGUUCUUGCAGCUAAGAGAUAGAAAUGAACACUGCUAACUUGAGUCAGACACGACUGGAUAGGGGAAACCUUUACCUUUAUCUUUGUACAUAGUUUUACUUGGUGACAUGUUAUUUAUUAGAACUCUAAGGAACUAUAAAAGAUACAACCAAAAACUGCCAGGUCUACCUUUGGCUACGUCAUAAAAAAGGUUUGAAAUGUGUUUGAAGGCUCUGGAUUUCUCACUCAGUCUAGAAUGCAUCAU